rnacentral:rRNA from 1 species
CCUCCUUUCCUCAUCAGUUAUUAAUAUUGGUCAAUGGGCGGGAUCCUGAACCAGCCAAGCCGCGUGAGGGAAGAAGGUACAGCGUAUCGUAAAACUCUUUUGUCAGGGAACAAAGGCGGGGACUAGUCCCCGGAUGAGGGAACCUGAAGAAAAAGCAUCGGCUAACUCCGUGCCAGCAGCCGCGGGAAUACGGAGGAUGCGAGCGUUAUCCGGAUUUAUUGGGUUUAAAGGGGGCGCAGGCGGCCUGUUAAGUCAGCGGUAAAAGCCCGGGACGCAACCCCGGCGAGCCGUUGAAACUGUCGGGG